CUACGGGUGGCAGCAGUGGGGAAUAUUGCACAAUGGGCGCAAGCCUGAUGCAGCCAUGCCGCGUGUAUGAAGAAGGCCUUCGGGUUGUAAAGUACUUUCAGCGGGGAGGAAGGGAGUAAAGUUAAUACCUUUGCUCAUUGACGUUACCCGCAGAAGAAGCACCGGCUAACUCCGUGCCAGCAGCCGCGGUGAAUACGGAGGGUGCAAGCGUUAAUCGGAAUUACUGGGCGUAAAGCGCACGCAGGCGGUUUGUUAAGUCAGAUGUGAAAUCCCCGGGCUCAACCUGGGAACUGCAUCUGAUACUGGCAAGCUUGAGUCUCGUAGAGGGGGGUAGAAUUCCAGGUGUAGCGGUGAAAUGCGUAGAGAUCUGGAGGAAUACCGGUGGCGAAGGCGGCCCCCUGGACGAAGACUGACGCUCAGGUGCGAAAGCGUGGGGAGCAAACAGGAUUAGAUACCCGAGUAGUC
rnacentral:rRNA from 1 species